AUGCACAAUUUGAUGUCCUUAAAGUUAAGAUUUCAGUGUAUAGACACUUUAAGGUGGAAUCAUUUUUGGAUGCCGUUUGUCCUGGUUUUCAUUUUGGAUCUCUUCUCCUGCACCUCCCCUCCCCCCACCCUUGCAGGAGCACCGUGCGGCAAGUCACCAGGGUGGUCCGUCCAAGCUGCGGAUUUGUGUGUCGUCCUUGUAAGGCAGUCUCCUCCUCCGCGGCCCCUACAGGGAAGUGCCUCACAUAUCAGCACACCGGAGCAAAAUGAAAGAAUUUAUUCUGAGGCCUCAAAAGUAGAGCUGCUACAGACCCUGAGCAAGAAGCAGUGGACUUCUGCCUGCACGGAUGGUCUUGAAACACGAACGGUUGUGGAAUAUCCCAAUGCCAGUACACUGACUUCAUUCCUGAAUUUAAUUACUGACUCUUUCUUUUAACUUCUAAUAUGAUGUUGGCUAUUGGUUUAUGGCAGAUAUCUUUUAUUGUGGCAAAAAAGUAGCAUUCUAUUCCGAUUUUCAAUACCUCUUCCCACAGAAUAUUUUUUUAAAUGUCUUUUCAGCGUUUUUAAUAAUGAUAACUUUCUCUUUUGAACCAGUGAUGCUGUGAAUGGCAUAACGUAAUCUUUGAUUCAUGUCCAUGUGUGGAAACUUUGAAAUUACUUGUCUCUCAAAUUAUUUAACUCAGGUCCUUUUCCUGUUGUAUUACAAAAGCUCACACCCCUGCCUCUGCUCAACACACAAUAUUUUUCUACAGUAAUUUUUCUGAUCAAGAUUUUUACUGCUCAAAUUAAUAUUCAAGACAUUAACUUUUCUAGGAUAGCUGCCAUUUCCAUAUUUAAAACUAUAUUAACGUAGAGCCAAA
rnacentral:lncRNA from 1 species